UACGAAGGGGGCUAGCGUUGUUCGGAAUUACUGGGCGUAAAGCGCGCGCAGGCGGUUCUACAAGUCAGUGGUGAAAGCCCGGAGCUCAACUCCGGAACUGCCAUUGAAACUGCAGAACUUGAGGAUGAGAGAGGUGAGUGGAAUUCCCAGUGUAGAGGUGAAAUUCGUAGAUAUUGGGAAGAACACCGGUGGCGAAGGCGGCUCACUGGCUCAUUUCUGACGCUCAGGCGCGACAGCGGUGGGGAUCGAAACAGG
rnacentral:rRNA from 1 species